UGUUGCGUUUUCUCUCGUUCUUCUCAAAACCCUAUUUUUCGAAAUAUCUUUCAAACCCAACAUAAUUCCUGGUCGCCGCUCUAGUUCAAGCCUCAACAAUUUCCCAGAAUUAUUCCAGUCUACCACUCCAGUUCUUGAUGCUCGUCUUUGUUCAUUCAUUUUCAUUACAAGGUCGUCGUUUCUUUUCUUUUCUCUUCUCUCUUUGUUUUUAAUUUUUCAGUUUUGAUGUUUAAUUUUCCUGCUCUUCUUUUCUCUUAUCGGUCUAAACUAUCCAUCAAUUUUUUAAGGUUAAAGACGAUUGCUGAUUACAGCUAACCUAGAAACUUUAAUUGAAACUCAAAUUUCAAAAGUUACGAGGUAAUAACUUGUUAUUAUGUUCAUCAACUUCUUUGUUUUUGUUUAAGAAAUUCAAUUUGUUGUUCCGUUAUUUAUUUUUCUACUUGUUGUGGUUAAUUAGUUAUUUCUCCAUCCGUAUGUGCUCCAUUUUGAGUUAACAGUGUAGAUUUUUUGGGGAAUUUCAGAGUUUUCUCAAUUAAACGUUUGGGUUUUAGGGUAUAUGUAAUAAUUUUCUGAAAGUAAAUCCAAUUAGCACUUCAAUUAAGUUUCGAACUUUUGAUUUGGAAACUGUUUUGUUUUUGUGUUUUUAAUUAAUUUACGCUCCUCCAAGGAUAAGAUUAAGGUCUAAUACCGAGUAUUGGUUUGAAUGGUAUGGUAGUUUGUCCUCAAAACCAAGUCAAUCAAUCCGCAAUUCUGGUCAUAGCAUCAAAUUUAGUUCUUAAUUCUUUUUCUUUCUACCUAUACAAAAUCCAAAGUAGGGAGCUUUCGUUUUUCAUUAAUAGAUUAGAAUGACCUAUAAAAAUAAACAGUUAGGUUUAGUAAAUUUUGAUAAUCAGGGGAAUUCCAAGAAUUGAGCCUAGAACCAAGUGCCCUUUUGUUUUCUCUUGCACUACUACAAAAGGCGUGAUUUUUCGAUGCAGGGAGCUCGGCGCUUAGGCAUUAGCGUUGGGUGGGAAAUGGAGUUUCCGCCUUUUCUUGUCGCCUUUUGGCGUCGAGUUUUUCUUCGACUUCUUUCAGCGUCAAGAUUGCACCUGCCUUGCACGUGUGUUUUCUUGUAUAUUGAUGUACGCGAUUUACCCUUAAAAAAUUACACUGCUUCCUAACUCCUAGCAGAAACCCUAGAAAAAUCGCCUCACUCGAUCUACAAACUGUUCUGCUAUUCCAAUGCUAAACUCGGCGAACAACUUCUCUACUUCAUCCUCUCUUCUCUCAGAGGUCCUUCUCAAUCUGCUAAGCGUUUCUUUCUCAUUAAUUAGUCUUCUUAAGUUUGAUGUUUUUUCAGUUAGUUAGUUCUUGAUUUUGCUGAUUUUUUUUGUUCUUAUGAUUUUUAUGAUUUAAGUUUGAGUAGGAUUCUGAUAUGGUUUGACCGAUUUUCGAUUAUGCUCAGUCUCUUGAUUUCCAAAAGGUGAUUAUUGUUUUUACUUUGCUGAUUGUUUGAAUUUUUUGAGGUAGUUCCUCGUCCAUCUUUUACUUUGGUUGUUGUGAAUUGUUUUACAGGUUGUGCAAGGGAUUAUUAGUGAGCUUGAAUCGCAAGGUGCACUUCCGAGGAGUAAUUCAAGGAUUUUAUCUCUUGCAAUAUUUUGUGUACCCAGGUCUUGCUUUUGGUACAUGGUUGAGGCUAGUGGUUGUGAUAAGUGAUAAGGAAUGGUCAGAGCUUGGAAUAGCCUAAAACCGGGCGCUCGUUGCCUAAAUGCACACUUAACUUCUCGUUGCGUCAUAUUUAUUGUCGUUCCACCAAUUAGUUGUACAUGGUGCUGAGGUGGGAAAAUGAUAUGAUUAUUGAAAUGACAUUCUUUGUAGAGGAUCAGACUCACAACUUGGAAAGUUGCUCGGUUAGGAAUAUGUAAGAAUGUGUUAUAGGUUGGAAAUCUUUUGAUCAAGCUUUGUCCUCAAGAUCAAACAACAAUGUAAAUUAACUAUAUAUUAUUUUUAAUGCAAGA